AAACAUCCAUUACAAGUGUAUCAAAUUAUCCCAAUUGAGUGCCAUAAUGCCCUAUAAUAUAUCUAUAGAAAAGUCCCUAAUAAAUACUACCAAGUAGUGUUAAACUUGGACUAGCCUUGCUCUUGCUCCUCGACUCCCCAAAGCUGGAAAAACUCUGCACAAAACUGUGAGGGUGUGAGUUGAAAAAGCUUAGUGAAUAGCCAUAAAUUCAAUAAGUAAAUCACACCAAAGACAUACUUAAAACAAGGCAAAUCAUGUAUCAAAUUUUAGGUAUAUGAUCCAUAGUUUCAGUUAUAUUUUCACACACUCAAAUAUAGCAUUCAAUUGACUGAAAUUGCCAGCAGCAAUGCAACAUCAUAACCUCAUAAUUCCACCUGUUAUUCCAUGAGUAAAAUAACAUUUAUUAUGUCAUAUGAAAACAUAAUAUAUUUAAUAAUCACACACUUGUAUUGGCAAAUGACAUCCAUGGCAGAAUAGGAAGAUGUGAUCAUGCAUUGCAUAAACGGAUCUCCAUAUCUCCCAAAUAUCGAAUACAA
rnacentral:lncRNA from 1 species